rnacentral:rRNA from 1 species
AGCUCCAAUAGCGUAUAUUAAAGUUGUUGUGGUUAAAAAGCUCGUAGUUGGAUCUCGGCGGUCUGAGGGCGGUUCGCUUCAGAGCGCUACUGCCCUAUAGACCGUAGUUUUGCCAGAGGUCUCAGGGUGCUCUUAACCGAGUGUCUUGCGAUGCUGGCAGGUUUACUUUGAAAAAAUUAGAGUGCUCAAAGCAGGCUUUUACGCCUGAAUAUUCGUGCAUGGAAUAAUAGAAUAGGAAGUCGUUUCUAUUUUGUUGGUUUUAGGAAAUCGACUUAAUGAUUAAUAGGGACAGUCGGGGGCAUUUGUAUUCAAACGACAGAGGUGAAAUUCUUGGACCGUUUGAAGACAAACUACUGCGAAAGCAUUUGCCAAGAAUGUUUUCAUUA